CGGAGGAGGUAGUGGCUGCUCCGGGAACACCAGGGGAAAUGAUGCCUCGAAGACCCAUGUAGGUUUCUUUAAAACCUCGCUAAUGUCCAGACUCAAGUACUAGAUCUAUGGAGCCCGCCAGAAACUGUCCACUGUUCGGAGGCGCCUUUUCCGCCAUCCUCCCCCGAGGGGCCAUUGAUGUGAGUGACCUCCGACCGGUGCCAGACAACCAAGAAGUUUUCUGCCAUCCUGUGACCGACCAGAGUCUGAUCAUAGAACUUCUGGAGCUGCAGGCCCACGUGCAGGGCGAAGCGGCUGCGCGGUGAGAAAGCUAGCCAACGGGAGGCCCGGAACCGAGGAAGUGGGCGGGGCCUGUGGCUGGACGGUUAUCCAGGACGAAAACUCCAAGGGCAAUAGCAGCAGGCCAGGCUCGAGGGUGGGACUGGGUUAUUCAGAGAUGCCCCUCCCUACCCAUGUUCCUCCCACGCCAGGUACCAUUUUGAGGACGUUGGCGGGGUGCAGGGGGCUAGGAGUGUGCACGUGCUAUCUGUGCAGCCUCUCUGUUUGGAGAACUUAUCCCUGAGAGGCUGCUGUCAAGAUGCCUGGUUCCUUUCUGGCAAGCAGCAGGUAGCUAAAGAAAACCAACAGGUGAGGGCCACGGUGAAUGGGAUGCCCUCGAGCUGGGAAGGGAUAACUCCAGGUAUCCUGGUAAGCAUGCCGAUUCUGAUCCCUUUAGGUAGCAAAGGAUGUCACACUGCAUCAGGCCUUGCUUCGGUUGCCCCAGUAUCAGACUGAUCUUUUGCUCACCUUCAAUCAGCCCCC
rnacentral:lncRNA from 1 species